CCCAAAAGAAAAAUGAAAAAUGAAAGAAAAACGAAGAACAAUCUGUCUCUGAUGUCCGUCUCGUCUUUGAUGUCCGUCCCAUCGGACAAACAGCGCGAAUGUGAAAUAAACAGAAACAAGUGGCUCUGCGCUCGGGUUGGGCUCUGCGAACGCUCUCCCCCUCUUUUCGUGAGCUCCGCUCGGCAUGAAGAUAUGAGCUCGGAUUAACUCGCCGUGAUAGAAUCGGAAGUUUAUUUCACAUUCUCCCUUUGCGGUUAUCUCGGUUUUGCGGAUUUCCCAAUUCAUGUUUUUGCUUCCCAAGAAAAAGCGGUUUGGGGUGUUUUUUUUUUCCACUCAUCUGACCAUUGACUUUUCUGUCAUGGCUCAGAGCCAUUUUCCAGCGGUUGUUUUAUCUACCGAGUUUUUUUUUUUAUCUAUCUCUUUCUUGACUUGGCUGUAUUUCUUAUUCUUUCACAACGGUUUGCUUUAUUUCCAAUCGUCUCCUCUAAAACAAACACGCGCUAUCAUCGUGCAUCAAAGAUGAUGGCGAGAGGAAACAGAGGAAGGAAAUGAUGUUUAACAGGAACAAACCUCCGCCAGGUUCGCCAGCCAGCUAACAGCUAAUUAGCACCAAUUAGCACCAGUUUUUUUCCAGGUAUUUGGUCAAAAAACAGCAAACUGAAAUGCACAUCUGUAAGCCGCCGCGGGAAAAGGAAGGUCACCACGACGAUGCCACCCGUGAAGAACCAGUCGUUCAUCUAGCGUCACCCAGGAGCACCUGCAGAAGGGAAAAGAGGCAUGAGAUGUUGUCGCUGUGCUUCCUCCUGGUUCACCUGCAGAGGCUCGCGGAGGUCACAGAUGUACAGACCGGUAUGAAGAGAGAAUUAAGGAAAAGGUGGAUUUGAAAGUGAUGGACUGUGGUGUUUAGCAGCAGCACCGAGAGGAGAGUCGACGGUCACAAAGUUCAAGGAAAAUAAAACCAGUUGUUUUAAGCUGUAUAAAACCCUUAUCUGACACUGUUUACAUACGUGCGAUUUAUGUAGAGAGCAUCAAAUUUGUUGUGUGAAGCCAUCUGGCUUUUUUUUUUUUUUAAUGCCUGG
ensembl:lncRNA